rnacentral:rRNA from 1 species
CAGCCGGCGACCGGCGCACGGGUGAGUAACACGUAUGCAACCUGGCCGUCACAGGAGGAUAACCGGGAGAAAUUCCGCCUAANACUCCAUAACACACCGCAGGGGACAUCCCUGAGGUGUCAAAGGAAGCGAUUCCGGUGACGGAUGAGGAUGCGUACGAUUAGCUUGUUGGCGGGUAACGGCCCACCAAGGCGACGAUCGUUAGGGGUUCUGAGAGGAAGGUCCCCCACACUGGAACUGAGACACGGUCCAGACUCCUACGGGAGGCAGCAGUGAGGAAUAUUGGUCAAUGGGCGAGAGCCUGAACCAGCCAAGUAGCGUGAAGGAAGACUGCCCUACGGGUUGUAAACUUCUUUUGUUUGGGAAUAAAAGACGCUACGUGUAGCGUUCUGCAUGUACCUUACGAAUAAGCAUCGGCUAAUUCCGUG